rnacentral:rRNA from 1 species
UACGGGGGAUGCAAGCGUUAUCCGGAUUUAUUGGGCGUAAAGCGCCUGUAGGUUGUUUAAUAAGUCUGUUGUUAAAGACUAGGGCUUAACCCCAGGAAAGCAAUGGAAACUACUAGACUUGAGUAUGAUAGGGGUAGAGGGAAUUUCUAGUGUAGCGGUGAAAUGCGUAGAUAUUAGAAAGAACACCGGUGGCGAAGGCGCUCUACUGGAUCAUUACUGACACUCAGAGGCGAAAGCUAGGGUAGCAAAAGGGAUUAGAUACCCCUGUAGUCCUAGCCGUAAACGAUGGAUACUAGAUGUUGCAUAUAAUGUGCAGUAUCCUAGCUAACGCGUUAAGUAUCCCGCCUGGGGAGUACGCUCGCAAGGGUG